rnacentral:rRNA from 1 species
GACGAACGCUGGCGGCGUGCUUAACACAUGCAAGUCGAACGGAAAGGCCCAGCUUGCUGGGUGCUCGAGUGGCGAACGGGUGAGUAACACGUGGGUGAUCUGCCUCUAACUUCGGGAUAAGCUUGGGAAACUGGGUCUAAUACCGGAUAGGACAAUCGUUUAGUGUCGGUUGUGGAAAGUUUUUUCGGUUAGGGAUGAGCCCGCGGCCUAUCAGCUUGUUGGUGGGGUAAUGGCCUACCAAGGCGUCGACGGGUAGCCGGCCUGAGAGGGUGGACGGCCACAUUGGGACUGAGAUACGGCCCAGACUCCUACGGGAGGCAGCAGUGGGGAAUAUUGCACAAUGGGCGCAAGCCUGAUGCAGCGACGCCGCGUGGGGGAUGACGGCCUUCGGGUUGUAAACCUCUUUCGACAGGGACGAAGCUUUGGUGACGGUACCUGUAAAAGAAGCACCGGCUAACUACGUG